rnacentral:tRNA from 1 species
GGAGGGUUGGCUGAGUGGUUGAAGGCGGCGGUCUUGAAAACCGUUGUGGGGGCAACUCCACCGGGGGUUCGAAUCCCUCACCCUCCGCCA